rnacentral:rRNA from 1 species
AGCAGCCGCGGUAAUUCCAGCUCCAAUAGCGUAUAUUAAAGUUGUUGCAGUUAAAAGCUCGUAGUUGAAUUUCGGGAUCAAUAUGUUGGUCGUGCCUUGGUACGUACUGGCAUUAUCGAUUCCUACCUUCUGAAGAACCUCGAUGUCAUUAAUUUGGUGUCUUGGGGAAUCAGGACUGUUACUUUGAAAAAAUUAGAGUGUUUAAAGCAAGCUAACGCUUGAAUACAUUAGCAUGGAAUAAUGAAAUAGGACGUUCGAUCCUAUUUUGUUGGUUUCUAGGAUUGACGUAAUGAUUAAUAGGGAUAGUUGGGGGCAUUAGUAUUCAAUUGUCAGAGGUGAAAUUCUUGGAUUUAUUGAAGACUAACUACUGCGAAAGCAUUUGCCAAGGAUGUUUUCAUUGAUCAAGAACGAAAGUUAGGGGAUCGAAGACGAUCAGAUACCGUCGUAGUCUUAACCAUAAACUAUGCCGACUAGGGAUCGGAUGAUGUUAAUUUUUAAUGA